AGUGUUUGUUGACAAGCCGAAAGCAUCCUUAGCAAAAUAAAUAUCGUUUCUAAAGUUUGAAAUAUAGUUAAAUCGAAACUCGAAACUCUACGAACAUAUCUAUCAUGGCUCAAUUGAAUCUCAUUUUUGUCUUCCUCGUUAUUCUUGCUGUGGCACUCCUCGUUCAGGAUGUGGCGGCUGAAUACGGUUGUCCAUGGAGCGGUGGCAGUGGCUGCACCAGAUAUUGUAAAUCUAUCGGAAGAUCUGGCGGCGCUUGCAGUUGGGAAAGAUGUGACUGCUACGCAUGAAUACAAAACUUUGAAAAUUAAGACAUGGACAAGUAAAUUGUUUAACUAUCAGGUUUUUUUUUCUGUAAAUUGCAUGUCUAAAAAUAUUUUGUGAUGUCUAAUAAACUACAACUCAACGAAAA